AGUGGGCCAGGAGCUUUAUUUAGCUGUCCUGAAAUCCCACAGACCUGGAGAGGACUCCUGAGCUGGUGUCCUUGCUGCAGAAGAGGACAAAAUCUCGUGAGCAAGAUCUGUCCCUCUGGGCAGACAGCCA
ensembl:misc_RNA